rnacentral:rRNA from 1 species
UACGAAGGGGGCUAGCGUUGCUCGGAAUCACUGGGCGUAAAGGGCGCGUAGGCGGACUCUUAAGUCGGGGGUGAAAGCCCAGGGCUCAACCCUGGAAUUGCCUUCGAUACUGAGAGUCUUGAGUUCGGAAGAGGUUGGUGGAACUGCGAGUGUAGAGGUGAAAUUCGUAGAUAUUAGCUAGAACACCAGUGGCGAAGGCGGCCAACUGGUCCGGUACUGACGCUGAGGUGCGAAAGCGUGGGGAGCAAACAGG